AUGGAGGCCAUGGAGGAGCUGUCGCAGCUCUCCGAGUCGAUACGCCAGGCGGCCUCGCUCCUCGCCGACGACGACCCCUCCGACGACGCCGCGCCCAGGCGCCCCUCCACCUUCCUCAACGCCGUCGUCCUCGGCAACGUCGGUUCAGGCAAGUCGGCCGUGCUGAACAGCCUCAUCGGCCAUCCCGUGUUGCCGACGGGGGAGAACGGGGCAACCAGGGCGCCGAUCGUGGUGGACCUGCAGACGGAACCGGGCCUCAGCACCAAGUCUAUCGUGCUGCAGAUCGAUAGCAAGUCGCAGCAGGUGUCCGCAAGUGCUCUGCGGCAUUCUCUGCAGGAUAGGCUCAGCAAGAGUGUGUCUGGCAGGGGCCGCUCAGAUGAGAUUUUGCUCAAGCUGAGAACGAGCACAGCUCCCCCGCUAAAACUGAUUGAUUUACCUGGGUUAGAUCAGCGAGCUGUGGAUGAUUCAAUGAUCAAUGAUUAUGCUGGGCACAAUGAUGCAAUACUGCUAGUUGUGAUACCUGCGGUACAAGCAGCUGAAGUUGCAUCAUCUCGAGCUAUUAGGCUGGCGAAGGAUAUUGAUCCAGAUGGUUCGAGAACUAUCGGUAUCUUAAGCAAGAUUGAUCAAGCAGAUGGAGACGCGAAAACUAUAGCUUGUGUUCAGGCCCUUCUCUUGAACAAGGGCCCAAAAAACCUUCCUGACAUUGAGUGGGUCGCUCUGGUAGGACAAUCUGUAGCAAUUGCAUCGGCACAAUCUGGAUCAGUUGGUUCUGAGAACUCGCUGGAAACAGCAUGGCAAGCUGAAGCUGAGACCCUCAAGUCCAUCUUAACUGGAGCUCCCCAUAGUAAGCUAGGUAGAGUUUCUCUGGUUAGCACCAUUGCUAAGCAGAUACGUAAAAGGAUGAAAGUGCGUCUUCCUAACCUAUUGACUGGCCUUCAGGGUAAAUCCCAGAUGGUGCAAGCUGAGCUGGCAAGGCUCGGAGAAUCUAUGGUACAAAGUCCUGAAGGAACCCGAGCAGUUGCGUUGGAGCUGUGCCGGGAAUUUGAAGAUAAGUUUCUUGCUCAUAUUACAUCUGGCGAGGGGUCUGGGUGGAAAAUUGUUGCAAGUUUUGAAGGCAAGUUUCCAGACAGAAUUAAACAGCUACCAUUGGACAGACAUUUUGAUCUCAACAAUGUCAAAAGGAUUGUCCUGGAAGCCGACGGUUAUCAACCAUAUUUGAUAUCUCCAGAGAAAGGGUUGAGGUCAUUAAUAAAAAUAGUACUAGACAUGGCAAAGGAGCCAUCACGACUAUGUGUUGACGAGGUACACCGUGUAUUGUUGGACAUAGUCAAUGCGUCCGCUAAUGCCACACCUGGGCUUGGAAGAUAUCCUCCAUUCAAGCGUGAGGUCAUUGCAAUAGCAUCGAAUGCAUUGGAUAGCUUUAAAAGUGACGCCAAAAAGAUGGUAGUUGCUCUUGUUGACAUGGAGCGUGCCUUUGUUCCUGCUCAACAUUUCAUCCGUCUAGUACAAAGAAGAAUGGAGAGGCAGCGCCGUGAGGACGAAAUGAAAAACCGACCUUCCAAGAAAGGACAAGAGUCUGAACAAUCCGUGACAAACAGGGCCUCCAGUCCCCAAACAAAAUCUGAGCAAGCCGGCGGUAGCUCAAAAUCAACGAAAGAAAAACCAAGUCCAGACAAAGACACAAAAGAGGGACCAAAUUUGCAGGUUGCUGGUCCUGCUGGUGAAAUUACUGCAGGUUACCUUUUGAAGAAAAGUGCAAAAGCUAACGGGUGGAGCAGGAGGUGGUUCGUCCUAAAUGAGAAGAGUGGAAAGCUUGGAUACACAAAGAAGCAAGAGGAAAGGCAUUUUCGUGGUGUCAUCACUCUCGAGGAAUGCAACCUCGAGGAAGUAGAUGAGGAAGAACCUUCUAAAAGCUUAAAGGAUUCAAAAAAGGCUAAUGGACCUGAAAAAGGCCCAAGCCUUGUGUUCAAGAUAACUAACAGGGUCGCCUAUAAGACAGUUCUUAAAGCUCAUAGCGCUGUUGUAUUGAAGGCUGAGAGCACUGCUGACAAGGUUGAGUGGGUAAAUAAGAUAAAAGCUGUAAUUCAAAGCAAAGGUGGUUCUUUCAAGGCUGCAAAUACUGAGGGUGGACCGCUGAAGCAAAGCCAGACAGAUAGCUCCACAGAUGCAAUGAUACGGAGACCAGCUGAUCCUGAAGAAGAACUUAGGUGGAUGUCUCAAGAAGUUCGCGGUUAUGUUGAGGCUGUUUUAAAUAGUCUAGCAGCAAAUGUCCCGAAGGCUAUUGUGCUCUGCCAAGUGGAGAAAGCAAAGGAGGAUAUGUUGAACCAGCUAUAUAGUUCUAUAAGCGGGCAAAGCAAUGCAAAAAUUGAAGAACUUCUCCAAGAAGACCACAAUGCUAAACGUAGAAGGGAAAAGUACCAAAAGCAAUCAUCUCUGCUGUCAAAGCUCACACGUCAACUUAGUAUCCAUGACAAUCGAGCUGCUGCUUCUUCUUACUCAAAUGACAGUCCUGAAACUGAGAGCCCCAGGACACCUGGCCGCCCUGGUGAGGACUGGAGGUCAGCCUUCGAUUCUGCAGCAAAUGGCCCUGCCCCAAACAUCGAAUCAAGAUCGAGAAGCGCUGACGGUCGCAGACGCUCUGAAAAUGGGGAUCCCAACUCGAGCAGCAGACGCACACCAAACCGGAUGCCGCCAGCGCCACCGAGAUACUAA
rnacentral:rRNA from 1 species